rnacentral:rRNA from 1 species
UACGAGGGGGGCGAGCGUUGUUCGGAAUUAUUGGGCGUAAAGGGUGCGUAGGCGGUUUGGUAAGUCUUUUGUGAAAACUCCGGGCUCAACUCGGAGCUUGCAGGAGAAACUGCCGGGCUUGAGUAUGGGAGAGGUGAGUGGAAUUCCUGGUGUAGCGGUGAAAUGCGUAGAUAUCAGGAGGAACACCUGUGGCGAAAGCGGCUCACUGGACCAUAACUGACGCUGAUGCACGAAAGCUAGGGGAGCAAACAGG